rnacentral:rRNA from 1 species
GACGAACGCUGGCGGCGUGCCUAAUACAUGCAAGUUGAGCGCUGAAGGUUGGUACUUGUACCAACUGGAUGAGCAGCGAACGGGUGAGUAACGCGUGGGGAAUCUGCCUUUGAGCGGGGGACAACAUUUGGAAACGAAUGCUAAUACCGCAUAAAAACUUUAAACACAAGUUUUAAGUUUGAAAGAUGCAAUUGCAUCACUCAAAGAUGAUCCCGCGUUGUAUUAGCUAGUUGGUGAGGUAAAGGCUCACCAAGGCGAUGAUACAUAGCCGACCUGAGAGGGUGAUCGGCCACAUUGGGACUGAGACACGGCCCAAACUCCUACGGGAGGCAGCAGUAGGGAAUCUUCGGCAAUGGACGAAAGUCUGACCGAGCAACGCCGGGUGGGUGAAGAAGGUUUUCGGAUCGUAAAACUCUGUUGGUAGAGAAGAACGUUGGUGAGAGUGGAAAGCUCAUCAAGUGACGGUAACUACCCAGAAAGGGACGGCUAACUACGUG